CUCGCUCUUUGCCCAGGCUGGAGUGCAGUGGCGCAAUCUCGGCUCACUGCAACCUCUGCCUCCCGGGUUCAAGCAACUCUCUUGCUUCAGCCUCCUGAGUGGCUGGGACUACAGGCGCCCACCACCAUGCCUGGCUAAUUUUUGUAUUUUUAGUAGAGACGGGUCUUCACCAUGUCGGCCAGGCUGGUCUUGAACUCCUGACCUCAGGUGAUCCACCUGCCUCGGCCUCCCAAAAUGCUGGGAUUACAGGCAUGAGCCACCGCGCCCGGCCACAGACUCCAUUUUAUAGGUGGCUGUCCAUAUCCAUGGGUUCUGUAUCCAUAGAUGCAGAAUUCUUGAAUACAGAGGGUUGACUGGGAGAUCUGACAUCUGCAGGUUUUGGUAUCCGUGGAAGGUUCUGCAACCAAUCUCUGGUGGAUGUGAGAGGUGAUUGUACUUAAGCUUCAAGAAAGGCCUCCUCUGCUAAAAAUGCUCUCUGAUUAGCCAUUCACUGCUUCCUGAACUAUGAAGACAUCUUCUAGGAAUACUCAGGAUCUUCUGCUAUGUGGCUUUAAUUUAUUUUAAGAUUAAUUCCUCAUUACCUUCUUACACAAAGCCACCAUUAGCAUAUCAAGCACAGCUGUACAAAUUUUUAAAAGGCCAAAAGAUGUAUCUGCCAAUUCUAGGAGGAUAUAAACCUGAAGGCACAAAUCUGGGCUGGAGCACAUGGUUUCCCUUGUGAGAAGAAAAAGUCUCCUUCCUCUGAAUGGACACACCUUGCACACCAGGGCACAAGGUUUGUCUAGAAGAGCACAGCUGAACAUCAUAAAGUGCAGAACCACACACCUGGCAUCCUUGUCCCUACACAAGACGGGGUUUCACCGGUUAGCCAGGAUGGUCUCGAUCUCCUGAUCUCGUGAUCCGCCUGCCUCGGCCUCCCAAAGUGCUGAGAUUACAGACAUGAGCCACCACGCCCGGCCACCUUGGAUCCUUUAAAAGUAAUGUAUGGUUUAAGGAGGAAAUUUGGUUGAAUACGUUUAAGGAAAUAUUAAUCCAACCUGUUUAAUAAACAUUACCUGUGAACAUUGCAUUUUGAAACUGUUCAAAUAUACCAAAUGAUUCAUAUUAAUUAGAACAAAAAGUCCAAAAAGAGAAAACUACAAAUUCUAUUACACUAUUUAAAAUAGCAUACAAAAACAAUUUUGAGCAAAAUAAUGUAAAAGUAGAAACUGAUAAAUUAAAAAAUAGAAACGUAGAAUUAAUUCAAUUUAAUCCCUGUAUCAUUGGAUACACACACAGACAUCAAAGAGAGAGAGAACAUGAAAUAUAUUAGAACAUUAGGUAUGAGAAGAAGGUAUAUAUCCAAAAUUAAAUAUAAAUUUAACUGCUAUCUGGGUUAUUAUUUUAAAAUCUCACUUAAAUGAAUCUAUAUCUGAGCAGAUACAAAUUAUUUACAUUUUUCUAAAGGGUUAACUGAUAAAUUCUCAAAACAUUUCAACUAUCAGAAAAAUCAUCAUACUGUGUAAACAACUGCAGAAAACACAAAAUAAUAAAUUCUCAUGUUUUCAAACUAACAAAAUUCUUCUCUUAAUGAUUUCCAAAACACAUAAAAAGAAAAUGACAGAUCAUUCCUAAUAUUUAUUCAAAUUUUUUAAAAAAAUUAACGAUAUAAUCCAGCAGUAUGUUAUAGAAAUAAUAAGUAAAAUUAGUUCUAAUAUGACAAAGGUGAUUUAAUAUUUGAGAAU
rnacentral:lncRNA from 1 species